CAAAAUUGGUAGGAAAAUACAAGCAGUGAGCGAAGUGAUUAUUCUGUGUCACCGGCUGACAUCUGCUUUUCCUUUUCUCGUGAAGCUCAUCUCCGGAAGUGGUUUAAGAAGGAGAAAAUGGUAGCCCCAAGACAUGAAGAGACUUCCCAUAGGCCACCAAGAGUGGGCACUUUCUGGGGUGCCUGGGCAUCUCCUCACCAGCCCUGUCUCUUCUUAGAGCUGACUUUCCACCUUCAGGGCUUGAUUUGAUGUCAUCUUCAUGCUUUGUGACCCUGACACUGUGGCCAGAAUUGUUGGAUCAAAGGUUGACCCUUGACCUAAGCUGGUCCAAUUAGUAUCUCCCUCCUGGAAAUGUGGAACUUCUACUAAGAGACACUGACUGUGUGUGUUGACCGGAGGAUGGAUGUGUGAGAAGGAAGAGGGAUAAAUCCCUCUUUAAAGCAACAGAGACAAGAUCCAGAGUGUUUCCAGUAACUUCGUGGGAUCCCACUGUAUUCCUAACUCUGGAUUCCAUAGUAGAGAGUAAAGUUUUUUAUUUUUGUUGUAAGUGAAAGAAAACUUAUAUCAAACUUGUAUAAUAAAGAUAUUACUGAA